ACUCGGCGGGUCGGUGCCGCCGGGUCCCAGGUGCCCGCUACUUCCCAGAACCUCCGCCUCCCGCUCCGGGCCCUCGAACCAGCGCGGACACCACAAUGGACCGGGCGUCCGAGCUGCUCUUCUACGUGAACGGCCGCAAGGUGAUAGAAAAAAAUGUCGAUCCUGAAACAAUGCUGUUGCCUUAUUUGAGGAAGAAGCUUCGACUCACAGGAACUAAGUAUGGCUGUGGAGGAGGAGGCUGUGGUGCUUGUACAGUGAUGAUAUCACGAUACAACCCCAUCACCAAGAGGAUAAGGCAUCACCCAGCCAAUGCCUGUCUGAUUCCCAUCUGUUCUCUGUAUGGUGCUGCCGUCACCACAGUAGAAGGCAUAGGAAGCACCCACACCAGAAUUCAUCCUGUUCAGGAGAGGAUUGCCAAGUGUCAUGGCACCCAGUGUGGCUUCUGCACACCUGGGAUGGUGAUGUCCAUCUACACGCUGCUCAGGAACCACCCAGAGCCCACUCUGGAUCAGUUAACUGAUGCCCUUGGUGGUAACCUGUGCCGUUGCACUGGAUACAGGCCCAUAAUUGAUGCAUGCAAGACUUUCUGUAAAACUUCGGGCUGCUGUCAAAGUAAAGAAAAUGGGGUUUGCUGUUUGGAUCAAGGAAUCAAUGGAUUGCCAGAAUUUGAGGAAGGAAGUAAGACAAGUCCAAAACUCUUCGCAGAAGAGGAGUUUCUGCCAUUGGAUCCAACCCAGGAACUGAUAUUUCCUCCUGAGCUAAUGAUAAUGGCUGAGAAACAGUCGCAAAGGACCAGGGUGUUUGGCAGUGAGAGAAUGAUGUGGUUUUCCCCCGUGACCCUGAAGGAACUGCUGGAAUUUAAAUUCAAGUAUCCCCAGGCUCCUGUUAUCAUGGGAAACACCUCUGUGGGGCCUGAAGUGAAAUUUAAAGGCGUCUUUCACCCAGUUAUAAUUUCUCCUGAUAGAAUUGAAGAACUGAGUGUUGUAAACCAUGCAUAUAAUGGACUCACCCUUGGUGCUGGUCUCAGCCUAGCCCAGGUGAAGGACAUUUUGGCUGAUGUAGUCCAGAAGCUUCCAGAGGAGAAGACACAGAUGUACCAUGCUCUCCUGAAGCAUUUGGGAACUCUGGCUGGGUCCCAGAUCAGGAACAUGGCUUCUUUAGGGGGACACAUCAUUAGCAGGCAUCCAGAUUCAGAUCUGAAUCCCAUCCUGGCUGUGGGUAACUGUACCCUCAACUUGCUAUCAAAAGAAGGAAAACGACAGAUUCCUUUAAAUGAGCAAUUCCUCAGCAAGUGCCCUAAUGCAGAUCUUAAGCCUCAAGAAAUCUUGGUCUCAGUGAACAUCCCCUACUCAAGGAAGUGGGAAUUUGUGUCAGCCUUCCGACAAGCCCAGCGACAGGAGAAUGCGCUAGCGAUAGUCAAUUCAGGAAUGAGAGUCUUUUUUGGAGAAGGGGAUGGCAUUAUUAGAGAGUUAUGCAUCUCAUAUGGAGGCGUUGGUCCAGCCACCAUCUGUGCCAAGAAUUCCUGCCAGAAACUCAUUGGAAGGCACUGGAACGAACAGAUGCUGGAUAUAGCCUGCAGGCUUAUUCUGAAUGAAGUCUCCCUUUUGGGCUCGGCGCCAGGUGGGAAAGUGGAGUUCAAGAGGACUCUCAUCAUCAGCUUCCUCUUCAAGUUCUACCUGGAAGUGUCACAGAUUUUGAAAAAGAUGGAUCCAGUUCACUAUCCUAGCCUUGCAGACAAGUAUGAAAGUGCUUUAGAAGAUCUUCAUUCCAAACAUCACUGCAGUACAUUAAAGUACCAGAAUAUAGGCCCAAAGCAGCAUCCUGAAGACCCAAUUGGCCACCCCAUCAUGCAUCUGUCUGGUGUGAAGCAUGCCACGGGGGAGGCCAUCUACUGUGAUGACAUGCCUCUGGUGGACCAGGAACUUUUCUUGACUUUUGUGACUAGUUCAAGAGCUCAUGCUAAGAUUGUGUCUAUUGAUCUGUCAGAAGCUCUCAGCAUGCCCGGUGUGGUGGACAUCAUGACAGCAGAACAUCUUAGUGACGUCAACUCCUUCUGCUUUUUUACUGAAGCUGAGAAAUUUCUGGCGACAGAUAAGGUGUUCUGUGUGGGUCAGCUUGUCUGUGCUGUGCUUGCCGAUUCUGAGGUUCAGGCAAAGCGAGCUGCUAAGCGAGUGAAGAUUGUCUAUCAAGACUUGGAGCCGCUGAUACUAACAAUUGAGGAAAGUAUACAACACAACUCCUCCUUCAAGCCAGAAAGGAAACUGGAAUAUGGAAAUGUUGACGAAGCAUUUAAAGUGGUUGAUCAAAUUCUUGAAGGUGAAAUACAUAUGGGAGGUCAAGAACAUUUUUAUAUGGAAACCCAAAGCAUGCUUGUCGUUCCCAAGGGAGAGGAUCAAGAAAUGGAUGUCUACGUGUCCACACAGUUUCCCAAAUAUAUACAGGACAUUGUUGCCUCAACCUUGAAGCUCCCAGCUAACAAGGUCAUGUGCCAUGUAAGGCGUGUUGGUGGAGCGUUUGGAGGGAAGGUGUUAAAAACCGGAAUCAUUGCAGCCGUCACUGCAUUUGCCGCAAACAAACAUGGCCGUGCAGUUCGCUGUGUUCUGGAACGAGGAGAAGACAUGUUAAUAACUGGAGGCCGCCAUCCUUACCUUGGAAAGUACAAAGCUGGAUUCAUGAACGAUGGCAGAAUCUUGGCCCUGGACAUGGAGCAUUACAGCAAUGCAGGCGCCUCCUUGGAUGAAUCAUUAUUCGUGAUAGAAAUGGGACUUCUGAAAAUGGACAAUGCUUACAAGUUUCCCAAUCUCCGCUGCCGGGGUUGGGCAUGCAGAACCAACCUUCCAUCCAACACAGCUUUUCGUGGGUUUGGCUUUCCUCAGGCAGCGCUGAUCACCGAAUCUUGUAUCACGGAAGUUGCAGCCAAAUGUGGACUAUCCCCUGAGAAGGUGCGAAUCAUAAACAUGUACAAGGAAAUUGAUCAAACACCCUACAAACAAGAGAUCAAUGCCAAGAACCUAAUCCAGUGUUGGAGAGAAUGUAUGGCCAUGUCUUCCUACUCCUUGAGGAAAGUUGCUGUGGAAAAGUUCAAUGCAGAGAAUUAUUGGAAGAAGAAAGGACUGGCCAUGGUCCCCCUGAAGUUUCCUGUUGGCCUUGGCUCACGUGCUGCUGGUCAGGCUGCUGCCUUGGUUCACAUUUAUCUUGAUGGCUCUGUGCUGGUCACUCACGGUGGAAUUGAAAUGGGGCAGGGGGUCCACACUAAAAUGAUUCAGGUGGUCAGCCGUGAAUUAAGAAUGCCAAUGUCGAAUGUCCACCUGCGUGGAACAAGCACAGAAACUGUCCCUAAUGCAAAUAUCUCUGGAGGUUCUGUGGUGGCAGAUCUCAACGGUUUGGCAGUAAAGGAUGCCUGUCAAACUCUUCUAAAACGCCUCGAACCCAUCAUCAGCAAGAAUCCUAAAGGAACUUGGAAAGACUGGGCACAGACUGCUUUUGAUGAAAGCAUUAACCUUUCAGCUGUUGGAUACUUCAGAGGUUAUGAGUCAGACAUGAACUGGGAGAAAGGCGAAGGCCAGCCCUUCGAAUACUUUGUUUAUGGAGCUGCCUGUUCCGAGGUUGAAAUAGACUGCCUGACGGGGGAUCAUAAGAACAUCAGAACAGACAUUGUCAUGGAUGUUGGCUGCAGUAUAAAUCCAGCCAUUGACAUAGGCCAGAUUGAAGGUGCAUUUAUUCAAGGCAUGGGACUUUAUACAAUAGAGGAACUGAAUUAUUCUCCCCAGGGCAUUCUGCACACUCGUGGUCCAGACCAAUAUAAAAUCCCUGCCAUCUGUGACAUGCCCACGGAGUUGCACAUUGCUUUGUUGCCUCCUUCUCAAAACUCAAAUACUCUUUAUUCAUCUAAGGGUCUGGGAGAGUCGGGGGUGUUCCUGGGGUGUUCCGUGUUUUUCGCUAUCCAUGACGCAGUGAGUGCAGCACGACAGGAGAGAGGCCUGCAUGGACCCUUGACCCUUAAUAGUCCACUGACCCCGGAGAAGAUUAGGAUGGCCUGUGAAGACAAGUUCACAAAAAUGGGAGCACAUGGCAAGCCUGUCAGGCGGACACAGGAACAGGUGCUUUUGAUACAACUUCACAAGAUUCAGCCAAUGCUGGUGGCAUAAUGUCACAUUCCAAGGCGUCAGAUGAACUUGGUUUGUUUGUAUGUGAAUGGAAGAACAUCACUUCUCUGUCACCGCUUGCCUGGUGCCCGCCUCCUUUUUCUGUAGAGCUGCCGUCACCACCAGAGAAGGUGUAGGAAACACCUAACCCAGGAUUCACCCAGUUCAGGAAUUGCUAAAGCCCACAGCCCCCAGUGUGGGUUCUGCACCCUGGAAAUGGUGAUGACCAUCUACACUGUCCUGAGGAGCCACCCAGAACUCUCCACAGAGCAAUUAAUGGAAAUCUUGAGUGGUAAGUCUCUAACCUCUUCAACUGUAGAAGAGUAUUGUCCUUCCAAGAGGAGCAGAGAUGCUGGAGCAUUUUCAUCCAAGGGAUCAGGCCAAAAGGCUCAAAAAAAUUUAUUGAUUGAUCUUUAUGAUUCACACCUCUUGAGUAGUGUGGGCAAGAAUUAUCCAUUCCUACUUAGCAGGAAGGGAAACUGAGGCAGUGAGCCAGAAAGUAAAGUCAAUUUUCCACAUGACUGUUACAUUCUUGGCACCAUAUCAGUUGUUUCUGGUAAUUUUAAUGUAAUAUAUAUUUGGGUAGCAUAUGCUUAUUGAAACAGUCUUUGUGUGGGUGUCUUUGAUGCAAUUCCAAUGUUACUGGAAUGGUAUUUGGAAAUAUUACGACUCUAAAAUCUUUUAAUUAUGUAUUUAGAGCUAGCCAAAAGAAGCUGUGACCUUUUGGGGUUUUUUUUUUUAUUAUUUGCUAUGGUUGUUGCUGCAAUUGUUACUGAAGUGUUAUUAAUGCUUAUGAAAUCAUAGACUCUUAGGAAUUGGGAAAAAACACUACGACUCAUAAACUUGCAUGUAAUUAAAAUGGCUUAAGACUUUAAAAAUGAUAUUUCCACUGUUUUGUCCUUUCAGAAACUUUUUUAUUCUGAUUAAAUUUCACAUAUGCAUUCUAUCCUGUCAAGAUACUUUUAAAUUUUUAUGCUGCUAUUUACAAAUCUGAUAAACACUGCCUGCUGUUUUUAUAUAAGUUAUUGACUAAAAUAUUGAACA